UCUUUUACACAAAAUGUGCCGCGUUGCCUUUGAUAGCUCCCAAACAACUUAGAUUAGAUAUCAACACAACAAAGGCCAAAUACCAUACAGAAAAUUAUUUUUCGAGUUUUGAUUACGGUCUGGGCUCUCCGUUUCCCGUUCAGACCAGGCAGAAACGAAGAAGUGGCUAAUUUAUCACUCGGAGCCUAGGCCGCAUCACAGCAAAUCCUUCUUGUCAGCUAGUUGUAUGCGUCUGUGAUACGAUCGUCCGUAUUCGACUUAUUCGCCUGAGUCUUUCCUUCAGUCAAAGGGCCGUGUAGAAAUGUAAAUCUAGCGCUUGGCAGGACGAGUAUACCUCGCUGAUAAUGCCCGUCCUGGCCGGCACUUGUCCCCCUGCCUUGAGUCAGCGCACAGAGAGACGCUGGGCGAGUACCACCACCUUUCAGACCAACGUGCAGCUAGGCUUUGGGGGUCUACGGAAUCCGCUCCAGAUCCGGACCAAAUUGCUCCCUAACCGGGACGUGCAGCUAGGCUGACCCGUAACCCAAACCACAGUGAGAGUUUGGAUCCUAAAGAAAACAUAUUUUCUGCCAAGCUCUGCCACAAGGAAAGUAAUAUAUUGGAUACAUUUUGUAGUGAUGGAUUGGAGGUUACUACAUGAUUGCACAGUACAACCUAAAACACCUUUAAACUACGUUAACUCAUCUUCCGUGAACAGAGACUGUGAUGCGAGUACCCCUUGAGAACGUGUAUACACAUUUACAUACAGUUUGACUAUUGAGUUUUCAUAAUUGUUUUUAUAAUGUUAUUGCGCCAUCCUUGUGUCUGGAAAGCCGUCAUUCAGGACAUGUUAGACACAUGUUCAGUUCACAAGUUAUGGUAGGUUCCCAUCCAAAUGCAUACACCUGGCGGUUCAAACUGUCUACUGAAAUAUCCAAUUAUCCAAAAACAUUCUCAAAACACGACGAAAUACACAACGCCGCCAUCCCACCUUGAACACCUCUGUUGGAACCUGAACACCGUCAACUCCCAGACUGAACAACCAUUAACACUUGUACAUGUCCCUGCAAUCAACAAUGUUGACCCAGUUGUACAUUUGAGUCAAUAUCCAGUUCCUCUUAAUGUUUUCAACUUGUCAAGUUUGAACUAGAUCGUAUCUACUUAGCACGGAUAAUCUGGCAAGUCGAUUGCGAUCCGAACGAGUUCCUUUCAUUAUGCCAGGCCACUCAACCUUGGUGCUCAAGUGAAGAAUAACUGCCAAAGAAAGAACAACCUUGGACCAACUGCCUAUAUUUGUGUGUUUAAGACAUCCACAAGUGAUGUAUGCUACAAUAAAUAGUUUAGCGAGGGGAAUUUUUAGCAUUAUGUGCAGUUGUGAAAGCACAAUAUAACAUUCUAUGUUCUAAACUUGAGAAACUAAAAACCAGCAUCAAUAGAUACAGAUGAAACGGACUCCUCUUAAGCAGUUGUAGCAGCAACAGAGGUAACUGUAACGCUCUAAUUUUGAAUCGCGUAUGGGCUUGUCAAUGUGUUAUUUACAUACAUAGAGCUGACUUGAUGUUACGCAGUGUUGAAUGGAGGUGAUCGGGGAACUAAUGAGAAUUUAAUGAUUUUAAACGAAAGAAAAAUCCCAUAAAACUGUAGAUCUGCGCGUUAUUACCUGACUAUAGACUUGGCUCCUGUUUUCAAAAUAUUGCGCGCGUGUGAAAACCGUAUUGCCGUAUCGUUGAAUGGUGCAUGUUCUUAAAUAUAUGAUUUAAAACCAA
rnacentral:lncRNA from 1 species